CCUGCUGCUCCACGCGCACAUCCAAGCGGGACCCGGACACCGAGCAGCUCCGGUCCCCCGGCUCGCUCCCCGCGGGGUUUUCGGGCUCGUUGUGAGCGCCGGGGCGCCGCGCACAUCUAUCCCGCAUCUCGGGCUCUUAACGCGUUUAGAUCGAGGGGAGGUUCCGUUCCCGGUGCAGGGACUCGGUCGGGUCGCAUUACCGGGAGCGGUGACGGAGUGAGCGGCCGGUGGAUGCGUGGACGCGGACCUCCAGCCCGGGGUUUGCUCCGUUUGAAUGGAGGACAGCGCGUCAGGCGGACCUGAAAGAGAAGAAGCUGGUGGAGGAGAAGGAGAACGGCAAAGACGCCGCCACCAAUGGGAAGGUGAGCGCCAUCGCCGCCGCCGCAGCAGCUCUCUGCACAGAGUCGGACAUUUUUAACCAUUUUUGUAUUUUCCAGGAGAAUGAAGAGAACGGUGAGCCCGAGGUAGAUGACGAGGAGGACGAGGAGGUGGACGAGGAAGAAGAGGAAGAUGAUGGAGAAGGUGAUGAGGAAGAUGAGGAGGAGGACGACGACGAGAUUGAGGGUGGCACAAAACGGGCAGCUGAGGAUGACGAGGACGACGACGAGGACGACGUCGAAACCAAGAAGCAGAAAACCGACGAUGACGAUUGAUGCGUUUCCCCCGCGCCAUCCUGCUGAACCACUUCCUGAUUCUUCACCUCUGACCAUUUUUCUAUGUCGCAGGUGGAGGGGCUGGAGGACUGAUUUAAAGGAAAAAAUAAUAAUAAUAAAAAAAAUCCAACAUGGUCAUUAGCAAGUAGAGUUCAACAAACACCCGCCACGCCCACACCCACCCGAGCUCCCCUCGACGCUGCGAGACAAAUUUUCUAGAGGAACCCGCCACCGCAUCGACGACGCAGAAAUCCGGCUUCUCUUCAGCAACAACACAAAAGGAGAAUUUGUUUGUAUUUUUAUUUACAUUUUAUAUUUUUGUACAUAUUGUUAGGAGAGGGGAGGGGGGCAGUUUCUCUCUCGGCAGCGAUCCCGUCAGACCAAAUCGGUGCUUCUCUAACGAAAGAUUUUACUUGGUUGACCAUGUUACGAUAUCUCAACAGAUCUUAGAAAAACGUGUAAAAAAAUAAAAUGAAUAAAAACAUGAAAGACAACCUCUUAAGCCGUUGAACUCAGAGCAUUCCAGUAAAUUUAAUGUAUGUACUUUAGCUGUACCAUAACUAGUUUGUUUGUAUGGGAGGGUAAGGCCAAAGAAAAGAGCCUCUUUUCUUUUUCCUUUCUUUUGGUUUUUUUUCUUUUGGUUUUGUUUUUGUCAGCGACUUUUUGUUUUAUGACGGCCUGUUUUGAUGUAUGUGCAAAGUUUGUUGUUUGACAAUAAACCGGACUUUUAUUUUGUGAGUUGUACUUUGUAUCUCUGCCCCUUUUUAUUUGUGCUUUGCUCUCCUGUGAGGAAGAGGAAGCAGUGCAGGUAAACCUGAGGUCUGCUUUUACUUUAGGGUCACAACAGCGAGGAGGUGGGUCCAGCACAUCUUAUUGGACAUUUUACACUCAUUACAUCCAUAUAAUUCAUAUUACAUAAAAGUUAAGGUUUGGUACUAAAAUAAACUGGCGGUUCCAAAAGACUAAAUGUGGUUUAUUUCUUUUGGAUUUUUCUCUUCUUUUUGUCUAUAUUGCAAACAUGCAAACAGAAGCAGUUCUGAUAGUUGAAAGUUGUAAGAAUAACAUAAUGUGUCACAUAAAUAAGGGUUUCUGCAUGAAUUUAAAGUCUUAACAUUAAAAUAAAGCAUAUUAAGGUCUGAGAA
ensembl:lncRNA